rnacentral:rRNA from 1 species
GACGUAGGGGGCGAGCGUUGUCCGGAUUUAUUGGGCGUAAAGCGCGCGUAGGCGGCCCGUUAAGUCGGAUGUGAAAACUCGAGGCUCAACCUCGAGACGCCGAUGGAAACCCUCCAGCUAGAGUCCGGAAGAGGAGAGUGGAAUUCCUGGUGUAGCGGUGAAAUGCGCAGAUAUCAGGAAGAACACCCGUGGCUAAGGCGGCUCUCUAGUACGGUACUGACGCUGAGACGCGAAAGCGUGGGGAGCGAACAGG